UUAGGCAUACAAGUCGGACGAGAAGUUCCUUCGGGAGACGGAAAGUGGCAAACGGGGUAGUAAGGCGUAGGUGACGUACCUCAGGUCCGGAUAGCCACGGGAAACCGUGAUUAAUACCGGAUGACCUCUUCGAAUAUGGUGUUUGGAGAGCAAAGGUGUGAUUCCGCCCGAGGAGCGGCUUACGUGAUAUUAGGUUGUUGGUGAGGUAACGGCUCACCAAGCCUUAGAUGUCUAGGGGGUGUGAGAGCAUGGCCCCCACCACUGGGACUGAGACACUGCCCAGACACC
rnacentral:rRNA from 1 species